AUGAAUUUUUUGGGACUUUAAAAGGUCCGGCGUUUACUCUCAGUGAAACUCCUAUCGCUCGUAUUGUACGGACAGCUUGUCUUCAGAGAGAAAGGAGCUUAAAAUUCAAAAGGUCCUGAACAUUCCAUGGAAACCAUACUUCCGAGCGCUGAAGUUUCCCAAGAGAAGGCUCGUGAGUCCCUCAUUGCAAUCUCACAGUUGGAUCCAGAUAAAAACCUAACCCUAGCUUCUGACCCGUCAUCCAAACUCCUCAUCAAUUCAACCGCUGCCACGGACAAAGGAAGUGGUGGGGCAGAAGAAUACAGGCAGAAGCUCAUUUCCAUAUCCUAUACACAGUCGCCAGAAGACCACAAUAAGAUCUGAUUCUGACCGCUACUCACCAUGAGGUUAGCUUGGUUUUCCUUAUGACUUUUCCAAUAUACAUAUUACCCUCAACUGGUUUAUGCUUGGCAUCUUAGCAAAAGAAAUCUACAGGUCUGGAUGCAAAUAAUGGUUGUUUGGUUUUGUAAAAUUUGUUGAUGUUGGUUGUCUUAAAUGAUCAGACUCGGCUUUCUUUCACAGCACUGAGUGCGCAUUGGCCCUGAAAACAUCAUUUGAGGCAAUGCAUGUAAAGGAACGUUUCUUUGGUUCUUGGUUCUCUCUCUCGUGCACACACACGCACGCACGCAUAUGAUGCAUUGACUUAUGCAUCUCUUGUAGCUUGAUGCUUAUGACUGAUGUUACACUUGGCCGUGAA